rnacentral:rRNA from 1 species
AUUGCAAGUCGAACGAGGCGGCCCACAGAAUUUUGAUAGAAGCUUUGGAGAGCUUUGCUCGAAGAGUGGAAAGAGAAGGACGUGGAACUCCCGCCUAGUGGCAAACGGGUGAGUAACACGUGGGUUACCUACCUCUUAGAUGGGGAUACCAAUUGGAAACGAUUGUUAAUACCGAAUGUGAUCUACGGAUUAAAGGGAGCCUUUAAAGCUUCGCUAAGAGAUGGGCCUGCGGUGCAUUAGAUAGUUGGUGGGGUAAGAGCCUACCAAGUCAACGAUGCAUAGCUGAACUGAGAGGUUGAUCGGCCACACUGGGACUGAGACACGGCCCAGACUCCUACGGGAGACAGCAGUUAGGAAUAUUCGUCAAUGGGGGGAACCCUGAACGAGCAAUGCCGCGUGAACGAAGACGGUCCUCUGGAUUGUAAAGUUCUGUUGUUUGGGAAGAACGGCUCUAAUAGGAAAUGAUUAGAGAUUGACUGUACCAUUCAAGAAAGCCACGGCUAACUACGUGCCAGCAGCCGCGGUAAUACGUAGGUGGCGAGCGUUAUCCGGAUUUAUUGGGCGUAAAGCGUCCGCAGCCGGUUUAUUAAGUAUAGAAUUAAACUUCGGGGCUCAACCCCGUCUCGUUCUAUAAACUGAUAGACUAGAGUGUGGUAGAGGCAAGUGGAAUUUCUAGUGUAGCGGUAGAAUGCGUAGAUAUUAGAAGGAACACCAGUGGCGAAGGCGACUUGCUGGGCCAUCACUGACGGUCAGGGACGAAAGCGUGGGGAGCGAAUAGGAUUAGAUACCCUAGUAGUCCACGCCGUAAACGAUGAUCACUAAGUGUCGGGCAACCGGUGCUG